rnacentral:lncRNA from 1 species
AUAAAAUGAAAAAAAAAACUUUACUCAAUCAAUAUAAUAUAUAGAACCACAACGAAAAAUAAAAUAAAAAACUUUACUCAAUCCAAUGAUUCUUCUAGGGAAGAGCCUCAAGUUCAUCAUUCUGUAAAAAAAAAGGAAAUAUUUCAAAAUAACUACAAAUAGUUCAAAAUAAUAGAAAAUGCUAAAAUAAAAAUUGAAGACAUGAAAAAUACGCAGAAAGUAAUAGAGUUCAGUUUUGGACCUUCAUCUUAAGAAUUUGAUUUUCCUUUGGCAACCGCAGUAUUUGUUUCUUCAAUACGGCUACUACACCCUACUAAUCAAACAAAUCAUUUCAAAAAAAGGAAAUUAAACAGAAAUAUCACAACAAAGCUCACAAAAUUCUUGUUCAGGAUAACUUGACAAGCAAUGGUUGGCUACAAUAUCAAACAUAACAAAAUUAAGUAAAUAAAUUGAAAAAAAGUUAAUAUAAAAAUCAAAAGUAGAAUUAAAAG